rnacentral:rRNA from 1 species
AUUGAACGCUGGCGGCAUGCCUUACACAUGCAAGUCGAACGGCAGCACGGGAGCAAUCCUGGUGGCGAGUGGCGAACGGUGAGUAAUGUAUCGGAACGUACCUUUCAGUGGGGAUAACGUAGCGAAAGUUACGCUAAUACCGCAUAUUCUGUGAGCAGGAAAGCAGGGGAUCGCAAGACCUUGCGCUGAUUGAGCGGCCGAUAUCAGAUUAGCUAGUUGGUGAGGUAAAGGCUCACCAAGGCGACGAUCUGUAGCGGGUCUGAGAGGAUGAUCCGCCACACUGGAACUGAGACACGGUCCAGACUCCUACGGGAGGCAGCAGUGGGGAAUUUUGGACAAUGGGCGCAAGCCUGAUCCAGCCAUGCCGCGUGAGUGAAGAAGGCCUUCGGGUUGUAAAGCUCUUUCAGCCGGGAAGAAAACGCAUGGGUUAAUACCCUGUGUGGAUGACGGUACCGGAAUAAGAAGCACCGGCUAACUACGUG